AUGAAAGUGGAAUAGCCAUCGCUCAACGGAUAAAAGCUACCCUGGGGAUAACAGGCUUAUCUCCCCCAAUAGUCCACAUCGACGGGGAGGUUUGGCACCUCGAUGUCGGCUCAUCGCAUCCUGGAGCUGAAGUAGGUUCCAAGGGUUUGGCUGUUCGCCAAUUAAAGCGGUACGCGAGCUGGGUUCAGAACGUCGUGAGACCGUACGGUCCCUAUCUGUCGCGGGCGCAGGAUAUUUGAGAGGAUCUGUCCUUAGUACGAGAGGACCGGGAUGGACGAACCUCUGGUGCACCAGUUGCACUGCCAAGUGCAUAGCUGGGUAGCCAAGUUCGGCAUAGAUAAACGCUGAAGGCAUCUAAGCGUGAAACUAACCUCAAGAUGAGAUAUCCCACCGUAAGGGUAAGACCCCAUGUAGACUACAUGGUUGAUAGGCCAGGUGUGUAAGUGCAGUAAUGCAUUAAGCUGACUGGUACUAAUAGGUCGAGGGCUUGACCAA
rnacentral:rRNA from 1 species